rnacentral:lncRNA from 1 species
AAAAAAAAAAAAAAAAAAAAAAAUACAUUAUUUCCAUUUUUAUCAAAAAAUUAUGAUCAAUUUAGUAUUACUAAGAGUAAACGUUUUACAAAUUUUAAGAGUGAAUAAAAAGCUGAGUUUGAAUGCUUUCAUUUCUAAUAGUUAUUGUAGUAGCAUAUUUGAUUUAAUAGCUAAAAGAAAAAACGAAUUAGAAAACGAAGAAGAUAAAAAAAAGCAAAAGACAAAAAAAAGAAGUAAUUUAAAUGUAAAAAUAUAUCAAAAUGAAAACAAUAUUAAGGAUAAUAAUAAUGAUUAUUUAAAUUUUAAUAAUAAAAAAAGGUUAGAAAAGGUGAAUAAAAAAAUAAAAUCUAAAUCUCCAAAUUAUGAAAAUGAUAAUAGUAAGACUAAAACAGGAUUAGAGUAUAUUGGUGAAGAACCUUUUGAUAAAUAUACAACGAAUUUUACUAAUUUUGUAGAAGAUGAUAUAUAUAACAAUAAAAUAUACUUACUAAGAUAUAUAAAACAAUUGAACAUAAAGGAUGAUAUAAAUAAAUAUAGAUUUAGUACGAAAUAUAUAAUUAAUAAUAUAACAACGUUUAAAUAUAAUGAAUUAUUAUUUAUAUUAAAAGUGUUUUCUAAAAGAAGAUAUAAAAAUUUGUUGUUUUUACAAUGUACAAGUGAAUAUUUUUAUUGGUUAUGCAAACUAAAUAAAGGUUCAAAACAAAAUAUUUCUUAUUACUUAUACUUUUGUAGUAUCUUAAAUUAUAUACCUACAAUAAAGUAUGUACAAGAAUAUUUAAAACUAUUUGAAUAUGAUGAACAUACAUUGUUAAAAAGUGAAGGUGCAUUUCUGACCAAUGCUUCUGUUUCGACUUAUGCUCCUUCUUUUUCUCCUUCUCUUUUGACCAAUAUGCUUAAAGAUGAAUGUAAUAUAUAUCAUAAAAAUGUAAAAUAUUUAAUUUAUGUUUUAAAUUUUUUACAUAAAGCAAAUAUAAGAAAAGAGACAUAUGAUAUUUUGUUAUAUAUGUGUUGUUAUUAUGCUAGUGACUUAACAUUAAAAAAUCUUUUUUUAUUAUUAAAAAUUUUAAUUUCUAAGAAUGGUGAUACUAAUUAUUAUAGUAACUCCGAAUGUUAUAAAAUUAUUCAUAAAAAUAUGGAAAGACACUUAAAAUUGAUACAAAAUUCCGAUUUUGUUAGUUAUUUAAAUAUAUUAAUAUAUAAUAACAUAAAACUUGGAUCUGCAUUAUUUAUAUUUGUAAAAAAUUAUAUGGAAGAAAAUCAGACAAACUUAUCAUCAAAUGCAGUUAUAAGUAUAUUAAAAAUAAAAAAAAAAGAAAAUUAUAAAGAUACUAUUAUAUUAAAAAAAAUUGUUCAUAUAGUAACAACUAAUUUUUAUGAUUAUUGUUAUGAUAAUAUUUUAUAUAUAGUGAAAGUAUUGAGAGUUUUUAAUUAUUUUAAUGAACCAUUUUUUUUUUUCCUUUUUAACAAGUAUACUAAUAAUAAAAAUUGUGAUAUUUUUUUUUUGGGAGUUAAGGAAAAUAACAAAGAAAGUAAAACAAGACUACAUACAAGCAAUACUAGCUUUAUUGAUAAUAGUACUAAUACAACAAAUUUGCUUUUGUGUGAUGGUAAAAAAACAAAUUAUAAUCUUGAUAUAACAAGCGCAUAUGAAAGUAAACAAUAUAAUGAUGCUGAUAGUGAUACAUAUUUUAAAAACGGACAAAAUGAAAACGUUAAAAUUAGUACUGAUCAUUUUUUUAAACGCUCAGACGAAAAGAAGAACAAAUUAAAAAAUGGGUAUAAAAAUAAAUAUGAAGAAAAAACUAAUAAUAAUGAAAUAUUUAUGUCGUCAUUUGCAAAUGAGUAUUACGAAAUAAAAAAUAAACACAAAAAAAUAAACGAACUAACACAUUUACCUUUACAUUUAGAUAUUCAAAAAACUAAGUUAAAAAUAGAUUUGUCAAACAUCGUGUUAGAUGAAACUAAAAAAAAAGAAAAAAAAAAAGAUAAAAAUAUAGAUAAAAAUAUAGAAAAAAACGAUGAACAUAAACAUAAAAAAACAGACAAUGUAACAUUAAAUAAUAUAAACAACAUAACAAACAGAGUAGAAACAAGUAAAUUGUCAUAUAAUAUGGAAUACAUAGAAAUGUUUAUUAUUUUAUUUAUUUAUAUCGGCACCUGUGGAUAUCGUAAUAUUGACGUGUUAAAUGUUUUAUCUGAAAAUAUAACAAAAUAUUUAUGCUUAAAUAUAGCUUAUAAUAACAUUAAUAACAGUAAAAAAAACAGAAAAAAGGAAUAUAACUUUGUUUCUCAUGCAAAAAGUAAAUAUAUACUAUUCGAUGAUGUUAUAAAUAAAAUUAAAAAUGAUGAUAUGUUUAUUUUGGAAGAUAAAAAGUAUAAUUUAUUAGGAGAUGAUAAGAAUUGCUUAAGUAUGGAAAAGUAUAAUAAAUCAGAACAAAAUGAUAAGUGUUCAAAAAUGUCAAUAAAAAAUAAAACGCAUGAAAAAAUAAAUACUGUACGUUGUAAUGAGAAACAGGAAUCUACUAAUGAAAGAAAGGUUAAAAUUAUUAGUACAGCCGAUGUUAUCACUGCAACUGGCUAUGCAACUGGCAUUGCAACUGGCAUUACAACUGAUAUUGCACCUACUAAUUAUAAAUGUACUAGUAUUAAUGGUAGCGAUAAUAAAACUAUUGACACAUAUAAAAAAGGAGAGAAGAAAAAAUGCUGUAUGCGCUUUGUAUAUAACAUGAAUGAUAAAAAAAGAGCUUUAAAAAAAUUAGAGAAUAUGAUAAAUUUAAAAAAUGAAAACGAAUUAAAUAUACAAAAGGAGUUAGCGAAAGAAGACAUGAAAAAAUUUAGAUACAUGAAUGUAGAGAAUUUUAGGCAAAGUAAAAUAGACACAACAAAUAAAUCUAAUACAAUAUUAAAUAAAAAAAUAAAAUAUGAACAACCAAUUAAAAGAAAUCAUAAAAAUAGUGUAAUAAAAUAUUUUUUUAACAAUAUACACCCUGCAUUUAUCCGUCUUCAAAAUCGGAAGCUUUUUAAUAAAUAUUUUAGUAAUUUGUAUAGAAGCGAAAAGUUUAGAGAAAAAAUACCUGCUGUAAAAAAGAGACAUAAAAUAAAAAUUAAGAAACCACAAUGUCGACGCAUAAAAAAAUAUAAAAAAAUUCAGAUUUUAAAAAAGGCUUGUAUGACGAGAUAUAAACAAAUUUUUGAUAAAAAAAACAAUACUAUACUUAGUUGUAUAAAUAUGGUUUAUAGAGAAAAUUUGAAAAAAGAAGUAGAACAUGUUGCAGAUGCUUCGACAGUUGUAGGUACAACUAACUACAGUAAUGAUAUUUCAUUAGGAGGGUAUAUAGAUAUGCUUGCAGAUAAUAAAGAAAUACAUGUUGACGAUUCAACUUUUGUUACUUAUAAUUUAUGUACAUAUAAAAAUAAAAAUAUCAAUAAAUAUAAUCAUUUUGUUCGACUUAGUAAUAACAUAACACAUAAUGAAUAUAAGGAAGAAAAUGACAAAAAUGAUAAAAUAAAAAAAAAUAUAUAUAUAAAAAAUGAUCUAAUAAAAUGGAUAUAUAGAUUUAAGAACAAUUCGAAUAUAUUUAAUAAAGGAGUAAAUAUAAUUGAUGGUGAUAUACAAAAAUUAGGGUUGUAUUUGUGUGGUAUUAAUAACGGUAGCAAUAGUGGUAAUAGUGGUAAUAGUAGCAGCAGUAGUAAUUGUAACAGCAGUAGUAGUAGUGGCAUUUGCAACGAUGGCGAAGAAAUUAAACUAAGUUUAAAGAACAUGUCUUUAGUUGCCAUGUCGUGCAGUAAUUUAUAUUACCAUAACAAAUUUUUAAUCAAAAUAAUGUUAGCUAAUGUAUUAAAGUUGUAUAACAUUUUUUAUAAAAGUAAUGAUAAUAAAUUAAUUAAAAAAAGCGAGUUAAACAAUGAUUAUAUGUCAUUAACAAAUAAAAAUUUUGAGUUAGUUUUAUUUAAGACCAUAUGGCAAUUUUUAAUUAUUUGUAUGCAAACAAAACAUUUUUUAACAAAGAUUUUAGACAUAGAUCAAACAAAAAACACUAUAAAAAUUUUGAAUGAUAUAUAUAAAAGUUUAUAUUUUAUACAAGGUUUUAAAAAUAUUAUUUAUACAUUGAAUUAUUUAAAAGCUAAGUUAUUAUUAUUGUUACGCAAUAAAUUGAAUAUAAUGGUUAACUUUGACGGGGACAACAAAUUAAAAUUUAAUGAUACAUUAUUAGAGGAAAUAAAUUUAUCAGAACUUAAAGAAAACGAUUUAUCUACUUUACACCUUUUUUUUAUGACAUAUUUUGAUACCAAUACUUUUAUAAACCUUUUUUUUCUUUACAAUAAAAUCUUAUUUAUAACAAUAUAUAAAAAUAAUGAGUAUACCUUUGGUAAAAAUAUUAUUGAACCAAAUAACAAUUUUGUUUAUUAUAUUUUAAAAAUGUAUGGAAAUUACUUGGAAGUUCUUUCUUUAAUUAAUUUAAGAGGGAAUGAUCGAAUUUUUGAGCAAAAAAAAAAAAAAGAAUGUUUAGAAAAUAUGGCUAUUUAUUUUCCAAGUAUGAGUUUUUAUUGUAUUCUUGCUUCUUUGUGGUCAGAUAGGGGAGAGCAGAAAAAUGUAAAACUGUUAGAUACAAAAGAAAUAAAUGAACAAUUCAUGUGUUCGGUUAGACAGGUGAAUAAUGUAAAAAAUGGGGUAUUAAAAAACAAUUGUUCAAGUUACUAUCCAAACGAUAAGUAUUAUAAUGAUAAUUAUCAUAAUGAUACAGAUGCAUAUAAUAGUGAUUACGAAAUUAGUAGAGGCAACAAACACGAACAAACAAACGAGGACACAUACGAACCCCAAAACAAACACAAAAAUGUCAAUCUAUCCAAAUGUAGUAAUAAUAAAAACAGACAAGAUAAUGAACAAUUUGAAUGUGUAAAAAACAAAAAAGGGAAUUAUAUUAUAAAUGUAGAUAAUAUUUUUUUAAUUUUUUUUAAGUAUAUUAAAUUUAUAAGAGAUAGUAAUUUUUUACAUGAUGAACAAAAUGAUGGAAUUAACAAUUUAUAUCAUGUUGUGAGGUUUUAUUAUAUUUAUAAAAAAAUAUUUAGAAAGUGUGAUAUUUCUACAUGUAUAAAUGAAAAUAAUUAUAAUGAUAUAUUUCCUUUAUUUAUAGUUCAAUUAUUAAAAAAAAAAAAAAUAAAAAAAAUAGCCAUAGAUAAAUUUUUUUUUUAUUCCAAUCAAAGGAAAUUUAUGAAUGCAAGAAAUUCUGAUUAUUUUGUUAACACUUUAAUUUAUGAUUAUUUUUAUUAUUUUUUUAACAAGCAUACUUAAAAAAUAAAAUAGAAAAAUAGUGAAGUAAAAUAUGUAAC